rnacentral:lncRNA from 1 species
GCAACUUGAAUUUAGGAAUAGGGAGAAAUGUCUGGGGGAUGCUCCUCACAUCAAGAACACUGCCUGGAAAGACUGUGAGUUGUUUGUUGUUCUUUUUAAACUUAUUUUUAUGUGUAUUAGAGUUUUGCCUGCAUCUAUGUCCGUGUAAAAGUGUCAGAUCCCCCGGAGCUGGAGUUACAGACAUUGGGAGCCGCCAUGUAGGUGCUGGGAAUUGAACCUCUGUCCUCUGGAAGAGCAGCCAAUACUCUUAACUGCUGAACUAUUUCCCAGGAUGUUCUUAUGCUGCCCUGUGUGAGCAGAGGCCAGGCACUGCUCUGUGGAAACUACCCCGGCUUCCGUAGCCUCACAAUGGGCUUGAAAAGACAACAAUGGGAACCUGACCAUAACAGCAUGUACCAGCAACUAUUUUUUAAGGAAUCCAGAGGAGGUGAGCAGCCCUAACACCUGUGGGUAACACUGUGUCUGAGACGGGAAGGAGCAGGAAGAGAUGCCUGUACGUGAUUCUCGCGGACAUCUCUCAAGAUGAGAACAGUUGAGCAGAGGUCAGCAGCAGAGUCAGAACUCUUCUCCCAUCACCACAGUGGUCCUCAAGCUGGAGCCAGACAUCCAUCUACUCAGUGCCAUGUUGAGCCAACAACUGAGCCUGAGGACUAACUUCCCAAGUCUCAGUCCCUUCCUCACCUGUCGGGACACCUGUUCCCUGACUUGUCAUACCUGCGAGAUGUCACAGCUACUUUCCUUCCUCAUUUCCUCCACAGCCCACAAGAACACACAGCCAGGACCAC